rnacentral:lncRNA from 1 species
AAGGGGACACGGUCACGAUGUCCGUAUCCACUCUUUCUCGUAGAAUCGAACCUCCUUCUUGACAUAUGUUGCUGCUCGGCGGAAAAAAUCCUCGGAGAGAUGAACACGGUAUGCAAGUUCAACAAGUAGCAGAAGUCAUCUAUGUACAAAAAUUCUUUCCUUACCACUACAGAAGUUGUUGAACUUGAAGACCGUGUUCAUCUCGCGAGGAUGUCCUCAGCUGGGCGG